CGCCCGUUACCAUGGAUGCGCUGUCGGCGUCUGGCGUCGCACAAGGAAGCGGUGCAGCGGCGUCACUGUUAUUCUGCUCAAAUCUCAGCUACACUGCGGGGAUCGACGCAGGGGGCUGUGAGAACCCUGGAGCCACCAUCUGGUUCAGAAGGGGCUGUAGCGCUAGGGUUCCCCUGAGUCAAUAGGUACAACUGCACUCGAUUUGGAAUGGGAGGCAGGAGGGGCUGAGCAGCGCCAAGCACAACUAUACGAACUGUAAAAACUGCCUGUUUGCACACAUGGAAGCCUAAUGUCAUUUCAGUAGCGAUGCUGAAGCAAGUGAUGCCUUUGAGAAAAAGACUGCACACCCCUGCUCCAUAACACCAUACACCAUUUCAUUAAACCAUCAUUGGGCAGCAGCACUUUAUUAUGGACGACACAUUUCUCAAGCUAGUCAUAAAAAACAUAAAUCACAGUACUGCUGUAAAAAUACAGAUCUGGCAUGGCUUUUAAGCUAAAUUCUGUACUCUGCUACCUACCCUGUGCUAAACCAGAACUCUCCAAGUCCCUAAACUAUUCAAGCCUGUUGGCAAUCUGCAGCCCCAGACCUCUUGCAGAAGGACAGGGACACAUAAAAAUAAUGUAUUAAUGUGCAUAAGACCCCUUAUCUGAAAAACACCCAGGUCCCAAUCAAUGCAGAUAACAAAACCCAUACCUGUAAUAAAAAAAUAAAGCUUACCUUUGAAUCUUUUCUGUUCAUCCCUGGCUAAUUUUGCAGCAAUGGCCAGACCUAUGCCCGAGGAGCAUCCUGUGAUAAGCACAG